AUACAGGCGGUCUGCCAGACGGGCAGCAGAUCAUUCUGUCGUCUGUUUGCUGCUGCAGCUCAUCGCAUCUCGUCUCAUCUCAUCUCAUCUCAGAACCCACACAGCUACAAUGCUCCUGGGUGCUUUGGCCUUCGUUGGUGCGGCAGUGGCAACCAUUAUGUUCCCCCCGGCUGCUCCACUGGCGGCAGCAGGUGUGGCUGCAGCGACUACCACUGGAGCUGCGACUACCACUGGAGCGGUAGUGGUCGCCAUCUUGUUAUGAAUAAAUCAUGACUGCUUUUGUCGAAAUGGACAAUCCUGUUGCACGACGUCAUUGAAAUCUGCAAUGAUAUAUCAGUGUUUCAGCAUAAUGUUAAUUUCCCUACAUGAUUCUUGCUCAAUCGAUCAGCUUAUUAAAGAAAAGAGUUUGCACAAAG